UCCUGGAGUCUCAGUCUUGGGGAACCCCCGCCCAUCGGUGAUCAGGGUCGGCUCCUCGGAUAAUGCUCCACAGUGUUCACCUUCUAGUAUCAAAAUGUCCUUGCAGGAGGUCCCUAGACUCAUUUGGAAAUUGAUGCCGCACUUGCCUCUAAGGUGGUUCUGUGGACAGUCAAGUCUGACUGCUGAAGCAGGAAAUUGAGAAGGGGUGUCCAGCUAGCAGAAGUGGAGAGAGGAUGCAGCCACCGUUCGGCCUUUCCCAGACUGGCGGAAUUCAAGGAGCUCUCUUACCUGGGACGUGUCUGGUAAGAUCAACAUCCUCUUCUCCAUCCCCUUCUCUGGUUUUCAUGAGGACACAUGUCUACUCUUCCCGGAUGCGUCAUGAAUAAAUCCUGCUUUUAACAAAGCUCUCUGUCAGGGACUCUGUCAUUACUGGCCUGACAGUGAACUUGUUUUCCUCAUUUAUUAGACGAGGAGACAGAAAAAAUACCAGUCUUCCCUAUUUCACAAGGUUGUUGCAAAGAUCAGGUAAGAUAAUUCACGUGAAUGACCUUUCAAGCUUACUGUGAGGCAGCAGUUAUGGCUCCUGUUUUUAGGCUGACUUGGUUCUCAGAAAAACAAUGGCUAUUACUUCCUUUCACAAACCACAUUUUGUAUGACCAGUUGCCCUAAAAACAUGACCCCUGAAUUUAUAGUCUGGCCAGCAGGGGGCAGUGGAAGCCAUCCUUACGCCUGCUAAUUGAAGAAAACGGGAUGAGAUUUCAGUUUAACGCAGUGCCCAAGGUGUGAUUCCCACACCAGCAGUAUCAGCAUCACCUGAGAACUGGUUAGAAAUGCAAAUUAUCGAGCCCCACUCCAAACCUCCUGAUUUGGAAACUCAGGGUUGCGCCCCCCCAAUUAAGUUAUAAGA